GUCCCCGUAGCUCAGUGGACAGAGCAGCGGUCUUCUAAACCGCCGGCCGCAGGUUCGAAUCCUGCCGGGGACGCCA
rnacentral:tRNA from 1 species